GAUGACCGCUGGCGGCAUGCCUAAUACAUGCAAGUCGAACGAAUAGAUAAGGAGCUUGCUCCUUUGACGUUAGCGGCGGACGGGUGAGUAACACGUGGGUAACCUCCCUAUAAGACAGGGAUAACUUCGGGAAAACGAAGAUAAUACCGGAUAACAUUUGGAACCGCAUGAUUCUACAGUGAAAGAUGGCUUUGCUCUCAAUUAUAGAUGGACCCGCGCCGUAUUAGCUAGUUGGUCAGGUAACGGCAUACCAAGACGACGAUACGUAACCGACCUGAGAGGGUGAUCGGCCACACUGGAACUGGGCCACGGUCCAGACUCCUACGGGAUGCCGCAGUAUGGAAUCUUCCGCUAUGGGCGAAAGCCUGACGGAGCACCGCCGCGUGAGUGAUGAAGGAUUUCGGCUCGUAAACCGCUGUUAUUAGGGAAGAACAUGCGUAUUAGAAACAAUGCACGUUUUGGCGGUACCUAAACAGAAAGCCACGGCUAACUACGUG
rnacentral:rRNA from 1 species